GGUGCUCUCAGGUGUGCCCAGGACCCCCCCAGGUGUGUCCAGGUGUGUCCAGGACGCCCCCCCGGCCUCACCGGCACCGUGGAAGUGGAGUGUGAGGAGGAGGAGGAGGGCCCCGCGCACACAGGUGCCGCGGCUCAGGUGAGGCUGGGCCGCCCGGGCGCCCCCCCCCAGCAUGAGGCGCCCCCUACCCAGCAGCCCCUGCGGCCGGGGGGGGGGGGCGGCCCCGGGGCCCCCCCGCCCCACCCCCACCCUCCUCUG